rnacentral:tRNA from 1 species
GUUCUGUUAGUUUAUGGUUUAAAAUGUGAUUUUGAAGAGAUUGAGAAUUAGUUGGGACG